AAAAAGAAAAAUUAAAUUGGGAUUUAGGGUUAGGUGUUGAGACCGUUCGAAUUACUGAGUCUCUCUUCCUUCUCCUCAUGAGCGGCUAAUGGCGGCCGUACCUCCUUUACCGGCGAAAGCUCCUCCAUCUCCGCCAUGAGUCACGUUUCUCUUCAUCUCAGAUCCUUAUCUCUCUUCUCCGACGUCUCAAUUUCUUUCGACCUCUCUGCUUCUCUUAUGAAUCUCGCAGAUGAUUCGUGUUGCCGUGAAGUUACGAUGCUGAGGAAUUAAUGAAAUUGUUCAGACGCGGAUGCAAAGCGUGUUACUCUGUAAUGGCGAAGGUGUUGCGUUUCUUGAUGAAUUUGCCGUGAAUUGAGCGAUGGUUUUUUGAUGCGAAGUAUCAAAGAUUCACGAUGAUAUGGCGGUUUGGUUCAGAGAUGUCGAUGAAGAUGAUGAAUCAAAGGAGACGGUUAUGGUGAUUUGAAGAGAAGAAGUAUUGAAGGUCUGGUCGUGCGAAGGAUUUGAUGAGGAUGAUGAUUGAGCGGUUGAAGUUUCGUGUUGAAGGUGAAUGAGAGGGUGAAGGUUGAUGAAAGACGAAGGCGUAGAGGAUAUGUGAAGACUGAGGAAACUGUGAACCUGAGUUCUGAAGGUGAAUUCAAUUCAGAGAAGUUUGGAGAUUACAGGUUCUUGGAGGUGGUUAUGGUGAAGGAAGGUUCCGAGGAAGUUUGAAGAAGUUUUAUGAAUGGAUUGAAGAUGAGAGAUGAAGAUGGUGAGGUCUGAAGUGAAGUGAAAGUGAAGAGAGGAUGAUGAUGAAUCGUGGAUGAGAGUGAAAUCGUGGGAACCCCUGUGAAGAAUGGUUCAGGUCUUGUUAUAUAGUUUGCAGGUUCAGGCUUGGUUUAUGGAUGUGGCAGCUGGUUUGAUUCCAUUUGGUGUAGGUUUCGGAUUUUGAAGUGAAGAAAUACAAAGCUGAUUUUUGUAUGUGUUUAUGCAGGGCACGGUUUUUGUGGUCCAAACAUGAUGAAGAAUUGAAGAGAAAUAGAUAUAGGUCUUAGGAUUAGUGCAGACAAAUACUGUUUGGUUUAAACUUGUAUGGAGCUUAAAAACAAAGUUUAUGUAAUAACUUAAUUCAUUGUAAUGUAAUGAUAAUGUGACCGGAGUGGAACGGUUGAAUAAAA